rnacentral:rRNA from 1 species
UACGUAGGGGGCGAGCGUUGUCCGGAUUUAUUGGGCGUAAAGAGCGUGUAGGCGGCCAGGUAGGUCUGCUGUGAAAACUCGAGGCUCAACCUCGAGACGUCGGCGGAAACCAUCUGGCUAGAGUCCGGAAGAGGAGAGUGGAAUUCCUGGUGUAGCGGUGAAAUGCGCAGAUAUCAGGAAGAACACCCGUGGCGAAGGCGGCUCUCUGGGAAGGUACUGACGCUGAGACGCGAAAGCGUGGGGAGCGAACAGG